rnacentral:rRNA from 1 species
CUUGCAAACUAAAGAUGGCGACCGGCGCACGGGUGAGUAACACGUAUCCAACCUGCCGAUAACUCGGGGAUAGCCUUUCGAAAGAAAGAUUAAUAUCCGAUAGUAUAUUAAAACCGCAUGGUUUUACUAUUAAAGAAUUUCGGUUAUCGAUGGGGAUGCGUUCCAUUAGUUUGCUGGCGGGGUAACGGCCCACCAAGACUACGAUGGAUAGGGGUUCUGAGAGGAAGGUCCCCCACAUUGGAACUGAGACACGGUCCAA